UUUGGGUUUAAUUUUUGUAUUUUUUAUUUCAGUUUUAGCUUAUAAUUUUAGUGCUUCUACUUAAACUUAUUUCAGUUCAUUUCCAAGUCAACAUUUCCAAUUUAUUUUUUAUUUAUUUUUUAUUUCAGUUGACAAAGCUGUUUUUAAUCAUUAUUAGGUUUAGUUAAUGAACCCUGCCUCUUAUUAUCUACCAGACUUCUAUAGAGACACUUUGACCUCACAAUCAGUUGCUAUUGCAUAAAUCCAGUGCGAGCUACAUCUGUGUCCUCUGGUUUGAUUGAUGCAGUGUGACUGUGUGUGUGUUCCAGCAGGAGGCGCUGUAUUCCUGUAACACACUGUGAGAGGAUCGUCCAGCAGGACCACAGGUGCAUCUCAGGGCUGGUGGCGCUGUGUCCUCCCAGCCUGGGGUCAGAGGUCAGAGGUCAUCCAGCAGAGGAGAGGAUCCCUCAUGAAUCUGCACAGACAGUGAGCCGCUCGUCAGUAUUCACAGAUAUGAAAGAUGAGUUGAUGGUAAAGGACUGUGAUGCCCUUCAGAAUCACCCAGAUGAUCAGCAUCAGAUGACUCUCACCCGCUUGCCCUGAAACUGCACUGAAGCAGGUCACACAAGACCACAUCACCUGUAUUAUCUCACUAGCACACAUCUAGACACUUGAGAAGUUUAUAAACUCGCCACAUCCCUCUUCAGUUCAGGGUUAUUAUUGUUAACUAAAUAAGAAAACAGAAGAGUGUAAGCCACCUGCGUACAGCUCAGAUUUGCCAAAAUGGCUUUGACAGAGGAGAGGAAUUGUUGAAUAAAGUCAUUAUUUUUGUUUUCUUCA
ensembl:lncRNA